CCUACGGGUGGCUGCAGUGAGGAAUAUUGGUCAAUGGGCGAGAGCCUGAACCAGCCAAGUCGCGUGAGGGAAGACGGUCCUAUGGAUUGUAAACCUCUUUUGUCGGGGAGCAAAAAGGCCUCGUGAGGCCACAAGUGAGAGUACCCGAAGAAAAAGCAUCGGCUAACUCCGUGCCAGCAGCCGCGGUAAUACGGAGGAUCCGAGCGUUAUCCGGAUUUAUUGGGUUUAAAGGGUGCGUAGGCGGCCUUUUAAGUCAGCGGUGAAAGUCUGUGGCUCAACCAUAGAAUUGCCGUUGAAACUGGGGGGCUUGAGUAUGUUUGAGGCAGGCGGAAUGCGUGGUGUAGCGGUGAAAUGCUUAGAUAUCACGCAGAACCCCGAUUGCGAAGGCAGCCUGCCAAGCCAUGACUGACGCUGAUGCACGAAAGCGUGGGGAUCAAACAGGAUUAGAUACCCCAGUAGUC
rnacentral:rRNA from 1 species